UACGUAGGGUGCGAGCGUUAAUCGGAAUUACUGGGCGUAAAGCGUGCGCAGGCGGUUCGUUAAGUUCGUUGUGAAAGCCCCGGGCUCAACCUGGGAACUGCAAUGGAAACUGGCGGGCUUGAGUGUGGCAGAGGGGGUGGAAUUCCGCGUGUAGCAGUGAAAUGCGUAGAGAUGCGGAGGAACACCGAUGGCGAAGGCAGCCCCCUGGGCCAACACUGACGCUCAGGCACGAAAGCGUGGGGAGCAAACAGG
rnacentral:rRNA from 1 species